GCUUGGGAGUGUGGGUGACACAGGGGGAUCACUUAUCACUUUAUGAAUUUAUCCUAAUUCUUGCCCAGGGAAAGCUGAUCAUUCCAGUGGUAACUCACUGAAUUUGCAUUUGCAUGUCAUAUACUCUUUAGUUAACCUUCAGCAGGAAAAUCCUAAAUGAGUGAAGAGCUGGGCCAACUGUUACUGGGGUUGCUUAGCCUGGAGAAAAGGAGGCUCAAGGGAGACCUUGUUGCUCCCUACAACUCCUUGAAGGAGGGUGUAGCCAGGCGGUGGUGGGGCUCUUCUCCCAGGCAUGAAAACAAGACACCCAUUUCCCCAGAUGUCUGCAUUUCUCCCUGUGGUGUAUUUCUCACAAAAGUAUUUCGGAGUAUCAUAACCAUUGGAGAAAAAUAAAAAAGGGAGCUGUUUUGAAGGAAAGUGACACCAGUAGCAACCCGAGGACCAGGUUUUUAGCCAAGACAAAACCCAGCAAAUUCUCUGUCUACAGAGAUGUGCUCAUAUGCAUGACCCUUCAAAGACAGCCUGGUGAGAUAUCGUGAGAGUGUCUGCCAGGGCUGGUGCAAGGCUGUGCAUGUGUCAAACACAUUGGGGUAAACAAGCCCUCAUGUCUGUCUCCACUGAAACAUCUCCCAUCAGCUUUAAUGAAAACUGUGUGUGAGAUCUGGAUUUUGCACUGAUGGCAGUAAACACAACAGAAGAGUGUCAGGCUGCACUGCUGCUUGGUGUAAAUCCUUACGCCGCUUUCCGGCUCUCAGCAUUGUUUCCAUCUAUUGCAGGCAGAGUUGCUGAUCACAAAUAUUCCUGGCUAAUAAACAAUGGACAGCUUUUGGUCUCUCAAAACAGUCCCACAGAUGAAUGUAUCUGAUAAUAAAACAACAGAAUUUCAGAUAAAAAUAGGAAGUUAAUACAAGUUUUCGCAGAAUAAUGACAACUACCAGAACUAUGUGAAAAGUUUUCAUUAAUUUGUGUAUGUAGGCCAAAUGAACAGUCCAUUGCACCUACAGAAUUUCAUUCAAAUUUUUGAAAUGAAAUUCAAGAAUAAGUAGCAUAACU